UGGGGAAUAUUGCACAAUGGGCGCAAGCCUGAUGCAGCCAUGCCGCGUGUGUGAAGAAGGCCUUCGGGUUGUAAAGCACUUUCAGCGGGGAGGAAGGCGGUGAGGUUAAUAACCUCACCGAUUGACGUUACCCGCAGAAGAAGCACCGGCUAACUCCGUGCCAGCAGCCGCGGUAAUACGGAGGGUGCAAGCGUUAAUCGGAAUUACUGGGCGUAAAGCGCACGCAGGCGGUCUGUCAAGUCGGAUGUGAAAUCCCCGGGCUCAACCUGGGAACUGCAUUCGAAACUGGCAGGCUAGAGUCUUGUAGAGGGGGGUAGAAUUCCAGGUGUAGCGGUGAAAUGCGUAGAGAUCUGGAGGAAUACCGGUGGAGAAGGCGGCCCCCUGGACAAAGACUGACGCUCAGGUGCGAAAGCGUGGGGAGCAAACAGG
rnacentral:rRNA from 1 species